rnacentral:rRNA from 1 species
GACGAACGCUGGCGGCGUGCUUAACACAUGCAAGUCGAACGGAAAGGCCCUGCUUUUGUGGGGUGCUCGAGUGGCGAACGGGUGAGUAACACGUGAGUAACCUGCCCUUGACUUUGGGAUAACUUCAGGAAACUGGGGCUAAUACCGGAUAGGAGCUCCUGCUGCAUGGUGGGGGUGGGAAAGUUUCGGCGGUUGGGGAUGGACUCGCGGCUUAUCAGCUUGUUGGUGGGGGAGUGGCUUACCAAGGCUUUGACGGGUAGCCGGCCUGAGAGGGUGACCGGCCACAUGGGGACUGGGAUACGGCCCAGACUCCUACGGGAGGCAGCAGUGGGGAAUAUUGCACAAUGGGCGGAGGCCUGAUGCAGCAACGCCGCGUGCGGGAGGACGGCCUUCGGGUUGUAAACCGCUUUCGCCUGGGACGAAGCGUGAGUGACGGUAAUGGGUAAAGAAGCACCGGCUAACUACGUG